rnacentral:rRNA from 1 species
UCCCGGGGGGGCAAGCGUUGUUCGGAAUUACUGGGCGUAAAGGGCUCGUAGGUGGCCAACUAAGUCGGACGUGAAAUCCCUCAGCUUAACUGGGGAACUGCGUCCGAUACUGGAUGGCUUGAGUUUGGGAGAGGGAUGCGGAAUUCCAGGUGUAGCGGUGAAAUGCGUAGAUAUCUGGAGGAACACCGGUGGCGAAGGCGGCAUCCUGGACCAACACUGACACUGAGGAGCGAAAGCCAGGGGAGCAAACGGG